GAGAGAAGCUUGUUCUCUUGAGAGCGGCGGACGGGUGAGUAAUGCCUAGGAAUCUGCCUGGUAGUGGGGGAUAACGUUCGGAAACGGACGCUAAUACCGCAUACGUCCUACGGGAGAAAGCAGGGGACCUUCGGGCCUUGCGCUAUCAGAUGAGCCUAGGUCGGAUUAGCUAGUUGGUGAGGUAAUGGCUCACCAAGGCGACGAUCCGUAACUGGUCUGAGAGGAUGAUCAGUCACACUGGAACUGAGACACGGUCCAGACUCCUACGGGAGGCAGCAGUGGGGAAUAUUGGACAAUGGGCGAAAGCCUGAUCCAGCCAUGCCGCGUGUGUGAAGAAGGUCUUCGGAUUGUAAAGCACUUUAAGUU
rnacentral:rRNA from 1 species